CUCAAACAUUGAGACAAAGGAUGGCAGACAGGUUUCAACUCUAAUUGUUAAGUGGCUGCCUCCAACAGAAUAUUGAGACUGGGGAACAAUGUGGGGCAGGUUUCAACUCUAAUUGUUACGUGGCUGCCUCCAACAGAAUAUUGAGACUGGGGAACAAUGUGGGGCAGGUUUCAACUCUAAUUGUUACGUGGCUGCCUCCAACAGAAUAUUGAGACUGGGGAACAACGUGGGGCAGGUUUCAACUCUAAUUGUUACGUGGCUGCCUCCAACAGUAUAUUGAGACUGGGGAACAACGUGGGGCAGGUUUCAACUCUAAUUGUUACGUGGCUGCCUCCAACAGAAUAUUGAGACUGGGGAACAACGUGGGGCUUGAUGUCAAAGAGAACUCAGAAGGAUUAUAA
rnacentral:lncRNA from 1 species